rnacentral:rRNA from 1 species
GUGGGGAAUCUUGCGCAAUGGGCGAAAGCCUGACGCAGCCAUGCCGCGUGAAUGAUGAAGGUCUUAGGAUUGUAAAAUUCUUUCACCGGGGACGAUAAUGACGGUACCCGGAGAAGAAGCUCCGGCUAACUUCGUGCCAGCAGCCUCGGUAAUACGAAGGGGGCUAGCGUUGCUCGGAAUUACUGGUCGUAAAGGGCGCGUAGGCGGACAGCUUAGUCAGAGGUGAAAGCCCAGGGCUUAACCCUGGAAUUGCUUUUGAAACUACAAGACUCGAAUUCGGGAGAGGAUAGCGGAAUUGUCAGUGUAGCAGUGAAAUGCGUAGAUAUUGACAGGAACACCAGUGGCGCAAGCGGCUAUCUGGACCGAUAUUGACGCUGAGGCACGAAAGCGUGGGGAGCAAACAGGAUUAGAAACACCGGUAGUCC